rnacentral:rRNA from 1 species
CGGCGGACGGGUGAGUAACGCGUGGGUAACCUGCCCUAGAGACCGGGAUAACAACGGGAAACCGUUGCUAAUACCGGAUGCCUUUACAGGGAGGCAUCUUUCUGUAAAGAAAGCAUAAGCGCUCUAGGAUGGGCCCGCGUCCCAUUAGCUAGUUGGUGAGGUAACAGCUCACCAAGGCGACGAUGGGUAGCCGGCCUGAGAGGGUGACCGGCCACACUGGGACUGAGACACGGCCCAGACUCCUACGGGAGGCAGCAGUAGGGAAUAUUGCGCAAUGGGCGAAAGCCUGACGCAGCGACGCCGCGUGAGUGAUGAAGGCCUUCGGGUCGUAAAACUCUGUCCUCAGGGAAGAAAAUUUGACGGUACCUGAGGAGGAAGCCCCGGCUAACUACGUGCCAGCAGCCGCGGUAAUACGUAGGGGGCGAGCGUUGUCCGGAAUUAUUGGGCGUA